CUACGGGACGCUGCAGUCAAGAAUCUUCCGCAAUGGCCGAAAGGCUGACGGAGCGACGCCGCGUGCACGAAGAAGCCCUUCGGGGUGUAAAGUGCUUUUGUAGAGGACGAAACUUCGGUUGACGGUACUCUACGAAUAAGGGGCUGCUAACCUCGUGCCAGCAGCAGCGGUAAUACGAGGGCCCCAAGCGUUAUCCGGAUUUAUUGGGCGUAAAGGGUCCGCAGGCGGUUUGCCGCAUCUUUUGUUAAAUCCCGAAGCUUAACUUCGGAACUGCAAGAGAGAUGGGCAGACUAGAGGCCGGGAAAGGCAAGCGGAAUUGCCGGUGUAGGGGUUAAAUCCGUUAAUAUCAGCAGGAACACCAAAUGCGAAGGCAGCUUGCUAGAACGCGCCUGACGCUCAGGGACGAAAGCGUGGGGAGCGAAUGGGAUUAGAUACCCGCGUAGUC
rnacentral:rRNA from 1 species